AGGGGAAGGUCGUACCGACGUGCUUGUUGGAGUUCGCAUGGCUUUAGGGGCGCUUGGUGAAGUGUCGAUUUGGCGAGUAAUGUUGGUGUCUUGUGUCCUCGGUGUGUUCCUCGUGUUGUGGAGGCUAUUGGCAAAUAUGUGUGGUAAGAACUCUGGGUGUUGUUGCCGUUUCCAAAACGGGCUGGUUUGUCCUGAACAGAACAAGAAUAAUUGUGUCCAUAUGGCCAGGAAUUUGUUCUCUGUAGCUGCUUGUUUGUCUUGUGAGCGUUGAGCUUAAUGUUUUUGUAGCUCAGCCCAUGCUCCCAUUCCAACUUGAACUAUGGUUUGCCAUUCCUAAUAUAAUAGAACUCCAAUGGGGAACUGGCCGUUGCGAAGGUCAUGUUUGCAUCGUUGAUACCAGAUAUACCAUAACAUAGCCCAUCGAAGUAUAUCCUUGGGGAUAUGUUUAGAUAACGAGCAUGGGCUGCCGGCGUCCCAUGAGUAGUCAUCGGAGGGUUGGUCUUGUUGAUAUUGUGGGGUUGGUCGGUGCAUGUUGCCAUGUAAUACAAACUCCCAUGUCAGGUUUAAAUUGUCCGGAUUCGCCUUCUGUUUCAGCAGCGUGAAUUGGUCCUGUGCUAUAGCUACCAGAGAAUAUGUGAAAAUGCGUAUUCCGCAGUCUCUAGCGUCUGUCCUGGACACAGUACAGUAUCCUAGAAUGUUGAGACGAGUUUUCCAGGAUCAAAUGGAAAGUCUAUCUGCCAGUAACAACCAAACCAUGGCUAAGCUUUUGCAAAGCAUCCAUGGAUGCCAUAGCCGCACAAAAUAGCUUUUACAUUGGUUGUGUGUGAAACCCUGUUGUUGCAUUGCGUGGUUGAAGCCAAGUUGAUGCCCUUUCUUUUGGGGGAGUACACAGUAUUCGCGUUUUGUGGUAUAGUUGGAUAGUGGGUUUUUCUUGUAGUGAGCCUUGCUUCCGCCAGUUCCAUUUGAGUGGAUCAAAUUUGUUAGUUUGUACAUCUCUGCCUCGGUGCGUCUAUACGGAGACACUGGGAUCGGGGCUUUUUUUUGAGUUAUAUUCGAUGAACUUUCCCAAGGGGGAUUUAAUAACUACUUUGGCUUCAUGGAUUGCGGAUUUGGGUGUGGAGGUCCCUUGUGAGACUACCGUGAGGAGGCUUGUGCCUCUCGUGUAAUAAUAAUGUGUGCCCUUCAAGCUUUGUAAAGAGCGUCCUGUGAUGUAAAAGACCGGUGCGCCCGUGCCUGUGGUAAUCCAAUCGCCCACAUCCGGAGUAGUUUCGCAGUUCAAGUUCCACCGGAUGUCUUGUUGUGUUUGUGUCAUCAGCGACUCGAUCCUCUAUGAUUUUGUUUGUUGCCCGAUAUUUCUCGUACUUUAGAAUGUCUGGCUUCCGGUGUCCCAUAGGUCGCCUACCCAAAAGAUAUCCUUGUUUGACCAGUUUUUGUAUUUGGAAUUUCCUUCCUUGCCUAGUUUGAUUUGGUUUGUUGUGCAUAUUUCUGGGUUCAGGUAAAGAAGUUGGUGACCCUGUUCUGCUGAAGUUUUGGACGGUGUUUUAACAAGGCUCUCUCUAACCAAUGCGUCCAAUGCGUCCAAUGAGACCAAUGCGUCCCAAAUAGCCUUCCAUAACUCCAAGCCUUGUGGUUUGAUGCGAUGGGC
rnacentral:lncRNA from 1 species